rnacentral:rRNA from 1 species
CAGUCGCCGCGGUAAUACGUAGGGUGCGAGCGUUAAUCGGAAUUACUGGGCGUAAAGCGUGCGCAGGCGGUUGUGUAAGACAGGUGUGAAAUCCCCGGGCUUAACCUGGGAACUGCGCUUGUGACUGCACAGCUAGAGUAUGGCAGAGGGGGGUGGAAUUCCACGUGUAGCAGUGAAAUGCGUAGAUACGCGGAGGAACACCGAUGGCGAAGGCAGCCCCCUGGGCCAACACUGACGCUCAUGCACGAAAGCGUGGGGAGCAAACAGGAUUAGAUACCCGCGUAGUCCCUGUCUCUUAUAC